CUUGGUAAGAAUAGCUGCGGGGGUACACCUGGUCCCAUUCCGAACCCAGAAGUUAAGCCCGUAAACGCUGAAAGUACUUGGAGGGAAGCCUCCUGGGAGGAUAGGAACUUGCCAAGC
rnacentral:rRNA from 4 species